CCCCUCUCACACUAUGUCACCCUCCCUCACACUAGGUCUCCCCCCUCUGUCUCUUCCCUCUUACUCUGUUACACCCCUUACACGAAUGUCACCCCCCUCUUACUCUGUCACACCCCUUACACUAAUGUAACCCUCUCACACUGUCACCCCCUUCUUACUCUGUCACCCCCCACACUAUGUCACCCCCACACACACUCUAUCUCUCCCUCUAAACACACGGGCACCACUCUCCGCACUCUGGCACCCUCCUGCUCUUUUUACAAUCACCCUGCCACAGUUACUCCUUUACUCACCCUGUCACCCCCUGAAGGCAAUAAUUCUAC